UUACGGCCACAUCACGUUGAAACACCGCUUCUCUUAUAAUCACCCAAGUUAAGCAACGUCAGACCUGGUCAGUACGUAGAUGGGUGACCGCUUGGGAUUAACAGUGUUGUG